ensembl:snoRNA C17D12.18 ncRNA
AUCCCAUCAAUGAGCCAUAGGCACCAGAUGCACAACACGAAAAGCCCAUAUUUCCUGAUAAGGCCAUCAUUUUUAUGAUAGAUAAGUUCUCUGAUUUUUGAAACCGACGUGAAAUUCGAGUUCUACGCGUGAUUUGGAGCAUUUUAAGCUCUUUUUU